GCGUUGAUUUUAAUUAUUUUCUUUUUUUUUUUUUUUUUUAUCGAUAUUAGAGGUACAAUACGAACGUAACUGAAAUUAUAUUCAAAUUCAUUUUUACACGGUGUAACGUGAAACGCGCAAAUGAUUGCGCGACCUUUACUAAAUGUCUACUAUUCGAACGCGAGGCCAUAAUAUUGUAUUGGAAAACUCGUUAGACUCCGUUGGUUUAUCACCGAUUUCCGGUUUUUCUGCAGUAAUUUUGCAGAUUACGACGCGGAACCAACGCGAUAAUACGCGCUCUCCAAUUAAAUAUACGUUCAGUUCAAUGCCUCCCGUUGCUAAAUAUUUUGACAUUCACCCCGUAUUUAACACCUAUCGUACGGGUGAAAUAUUCAAAAAUCCUUCCUUAAUUACGGAUCAUAAAGCCAGUCGGUUUUUUUUCUAAUUUAUUAAACACAAUUCUUUGUUCGACGUCGUUUCUAACCUGUUUUUACCACUAAUACAUAUCUUGUUUAUUGUAAUUUGUAUAAUGUGAGUCGGCAAUAGCCGG